rnacentral:lncRNA from 1 species
AAAUAUUUAUGUAAAAAAUUUGUAAUUCUCUUAAUAAACAUUUAAUGGACCUUCCUUUUUAUUAUAUAUUUUUAUUCUCUUAAUGAAAUUUACCGGUAUUGUUCUGUUUUAACCAAGACUUGUAUUUAUUUUUAUUGGAUUGAAGUAUGAAACUUAUUUAUUUUGGUAUUUGAUUUUAAUUUCAUACUUUUAUAUAAUUGUAUUUCGUAUUUAAAAAAAAAAUUUAAUUUAAUACAUAAUUGUUAACGGGUACGGGUACGGGUAUGGAAACGUAAUCCCCAAAGGGUACGGGUACGGGGAAUCUCCAUUAUCUAAUUACGGGUACGGGGACGGGUAUGGGGAUGAAAAAUGUAAAAAGGUAUGGGUACGGUAUUUUGAUCCCCGUACCCUACCCUACCCAUUGCCAUCCCUAGCCUCUUUUAUUGAUUUGGGCUAGUCUUGAUCAGCCUGACUGUGUUUGGGGUCAGUAAAUUAGCUAGACUUGAGUAGCUUAUAUCUAUUUUUGGGGAAAAUUUUAAGAACAAUACAUGAAAAAUGAUCUACUCCUAAUUUUGGUGUUUCAAGUUUCAAAAUAAUCAUAAAGAUAUAUGAACUUAUAAUCUUAACAAAAAAUAUGUACAUGUCGUUAUGUUUUCCGUUAUCUUGUGUGCUUUCCGUUAAAAUUUAAGGGAUAAAUCCGUCACUCCUUAAUUUAACAGUAAUAAAUUAUUAAAAUUAAUAAUUACUAAGGAGAGAGAAAUCAAAAAGAUCCAAUUUUCAUUUCUGAACUACUAGUAAUAAAUUUUUUUGAGGAGCAGCAAACUCAUAUUUGAGCACAGAAGAUCUAAUUCUCAUUGCUAAACUAGUAACAAAACAACAAUUUCUGGAAGACCAAAAUUAAAACAGAAAAUAGAAUAGAGUGAUUUACUUGCAAACAACAAAGUCAUUAAGAUUAUAGUCUGAGUUAACAAAAUUUUAAAAAAAAAGUAUAUAAAUAGAAAAAGUGUAAAACAAAUAUAAAGAAAAGGUAGAAUGGAGAAAACCCGAAAUUACCCUUUGAAAAUUAAGAAAUUACAUAGAGUUAACAACGUUACUGACGUCAUGUACAAAAAAUGUGUCGUGAUUCUAAUGUCAUGUACCUUUAUGAUUGUUUUAAAACUUGAAACACCAAAAUUAAAAGUGGACUAUUUGUCAUGUACUGUUCUUAAAAUUUUCCCUUAUUUUUGAGGCACUGGAUGGAAGGAUUACUUGGAUACAAUGUUCUAAAAAACGCUAGGCGCUAGUCGGGCGGACAGCCGGUGACUAGCGCCUAGGCGGGGUAAUCGGGAGAUUAAUCGGGGAUUAAUCGGUUUUCUAGAUCUCUAGGCGGAAACGGUGAAGCACUGCCUAGCGCCUAGGCAGGGAUUAAUCGGCUCUAGGCGGGGAUUUUUAGAACAUUACUUGGAUACCACGCUAGCUACAAGGAAGUUAGGCAUCUUUGAGACGAACAUCACAAACUUAAAUUCUCAACUAACUACAUGAAAUAGCAUCGAAAAAACUAACUCAUGAAAUGAAUUGCAUAUCCAAUGUGGUCCUGGUCUAGUACUAUUAGGAGGAAAUAAGAUGGUGAUCGCGAAUUGAGGAUGAGGUUCUUAAAUUCGACCUUAUCGAUCUAGUAAACCCUAAACGUCACACACUAAUUGCAUCACAAGAAGGCCACAAUUUCAAUGUCAUCUCCUUGUUUUUAAGAUAUGGUGUGAAGUACGUAGGCCUGUAAUCUCAUCUCCUUGUUUUUAAGAUAUAAGUAAAAGCUUUGUUUCAUUGCUUCUGAGUUGAUAUUCUUUUUAUGCUAUUUCUCUCAUCUCUCAUAUGUUUGAUAUGAUUUUCAUUAUUCAUUUGCAUAAGUGAUUGAGAUCAGUGAAGUUGAAAAGAAAAGAAGGUGUGUUCAGUUUCUUCAUAUUCGUAUCAGAUUGUACUAGUACAGUGAUUGUGUUGAAUAUCACUACUUGAUAGAUCUGUAAUCAUUCUUACUCUACAAUAGAUUUGAUUUAGUGUGGACUAUUUCCUCCUUCUCAUAUCUCUUCCCUUUUGGUUUCUCUUGUAAGUAUGAAGCUCUGUUAAUCUUUCAUGUUUUUGUUCUUCUCCUUCAGGUAAUUGUGAAUUUCUGAUAAAGUCUAGUGAUU